rnacentral:rRNA from 1 species
AUUGAACGCUGGCGGCAGGCUUAACACAUGCAAGUCGAGCGGGGUGAUGGUGCUUGCACUAUCACUUAGCGGCGGACGGGUGAGUAAUGCUUAGGAAUCUGCCUAUUAGUGGGGGACAACAUCUCGAAAGGGAUGCUAAUACCGCAUACGUCCUCCGGGAGAAAGCAGGGGAUCACUUGUGACCUUGCGCUAAUAGAUGAGCCUAAGUCGGAUUAGCUAGUUGGUGGGGUAAAGGCCUACCAAGGCGACGAUCUGUAGCGGGUCUGAGAGGAUGAUCCGCCACACUGGGACUGAGACACGGCCCAGACGCCUACGGGAGGUAGCAGUGGGGAAUGUUGGACAAUGGGGGGAACCCUGAUCCAGCCAUGCCGCGUGUGUGAAGAAGGCCUUAUGGUUGUAAAGCACUUUAAGCGAGGAGGAGGCUCUUUUGGUUAAUACCCAAGAUGAGUGGACGUUACUCGCAGAAUAAGCACCGGCUAACUCUGUGCCAGCAGCCGCAGUAA